rnacentral:rRNA from 1 species
UACGUAGGGGGCUAGCGUUGUCCGGAAUCAUUGGGCGUAAAGCGCGUGUAGGCGGUCCGGUAAGUCCGCUGUGAAAGUCGGGGGGCUCAACCCUCGGAUGCCGGUGGAUACUGUCGGGCUUGAGUACGGAAGAGGCGGAGUGGAAUUCCUGGUGUAGCGGUGAAAUGCGCAGAUAUCAGAGGAACACCAAUGCGAAGGCAGCUCGCUGGGACGUUACUGACGCUGAGACGCGAAAGCGUGGGGAGCAAACAGG